rnacentral:lncRNA from 10 species
UCCAGCACUGUUUAUUUAAAAGACUACCAUUUAUUCAUUAAUUUGCUUUUGUACUUUGUCAAAAUUCAGUGAGUGUAUCUGUAGGUCUAUUUCUGAGUUCUCUGUUCGAUUCCAUUUAUCUAUGUGUCAUUCCUCUGCCAACACCACACUGUCUUGAUUACUGUAGCUGUGUAUUGGGUAGAGUGACCCUCCCACUUUAUUCUUAUUUGUCAAGAUAGUUUUAGUUAUUCUAGGGUCUGUGCCUUUCUGCGUAAACUUUAGGAUAAGUUUAUUUAUGCCUACAAAAAGUGUUGUUGGAAUUUUUAUGGGAAUUGCAUUAAACCUACAGAUUCAUUUGAAGAAAAUUGACACCCUUACUAUGUUGAGUCUUCCAAUUCCUGAACGUGUUCUCGAGUGUGGAAAGUCCAAGAUCAAGAUCAAGGUGAUGGCAAAUGUGGUGUCUGAAAGCCCCUUACCUUCAGAGGUGCACUUUUGCCCAAGUUUCCUGAGAUCUGCUGCUGCCUAAUAUCUUCUACGUUUCCUUGUGGAACUUUCCCUCGAUGUGGCUUCCAAGUAAUCUCCGCCUCACUCUCUCUAAAUCUCACAGCACUUGCACUCAAAAUAUAAAUGUUUAUCACAUUAGGUGGAUCCCUUCACAUUCAGAGGUGUAUUUUUGCUGGCAGUUUCUGAGAUCUGCUUCCACUGGGCCAUCUUUCUAUCUUCUUUCUAUGUGGAAGGAAAAUAUCUUGGGCUGUCAAAAUUACGAAACUAAAGGGAAAAGUCAAGCUGGGAACUGCUGAGGGCCAACCUGCCUCCCAUUCUGUUCUGUCACCCUCUGCUCACUGAGAUAAGUGCAGAUCUGAUUGCCUCCCUUGGAGAGGCUCAUCAGAAACUCAAAAGAAUGCAACCCUGUCUCUCACCUGCCUACAACCUGGAAACCUCCUACCCGCUUCCAGCUGUCCUGCCUUUCCAGACCAAACCA